rnacentral:lncRNA from 1 species
CUCAUUUUUCCCGGGCUUUCGGUCGGCGUUUUCCUUUUUUCGCGGUAAGAAAGUCGUGACGCGGGCGUGCCCGCGCCUUGUCCUUUCUCUGUGGCACCUAUUAGGCUGGUGGGGAGGGGAGAGGAAACAUGGCCUAGGUGUUGAGGCCUUAGCGCGGCAAGGGCUUUGUGAAGGACAAAAUGGCGAUGGCGGGCCGUGCCGACUGGCCUUUCUGUGAUGAGAACAUUUUCACAGACCUGUACUGAGCUCCGUGAGGAUAAGGAACUCUGAGGAGACCGGCCUGGCACAGCCGACGCCGCCUUAGCUUCGGAAAACGCAGCUUUGGCGAGAUAAUCCGAGGUCUGACCUAAGGUUCUUUUGUCUGCAGGGUUUGGGCGCGCAUCGAACUCUGAUCUGAAGGGUCGGGAAGGCCUGUCGUUGGAAUGUGGUUGAGUUCCAGGGAGUGUACAGGCUGGAGGAUGGGACAAGACCUAUCUCUGUAUCGAUCAAGCACGGCGUUGGUGUUCCAGCUCAUCACCAAUCCUAAGGAAUUCAAGUGCCUCCCAGGAUGAAUACAGGUUGUCUUGAUGGUGAUACAUUCAUCUGUCUUAAGAUCCCUGCUGAUCUGCUCAUGGUCAAACUCAUGGAAAGAGUUGAGAGUGGGGCACCUUGUUCCUGCAUCCUCAAAGGAGCAUCUUGUUCCUCUAUUUAAGCUUCCAGAGUUAAAAGGUACCUGUACCAUUUAGCGGCUUGUUCACUCAAAGAUCCAUCUUGUCUGGAGCCUGAGGAUGAUUGGAGGUAAAUCUGUUUAUCUAUGGCUGCUAUGUAAAGUUUGCCAGUUUUUGUGUGGCACUUUGGAUAGUUGUGCAGGUAUUACUUAAUCCAAAGUCUGCCUUUGGCCAUUUGUGAACCACCUGAAACAGAUUUCUGCUCACAUGAUGAGUUCGAUACCGCCCCAGUCUGAUCACUAUGACUGAAAGGUAUUUUCUGAGCUGUGAGUUUGCCUUAGAGUGGGAAGUUAGUCUUUUAAUAAAAUGUCUGUUGAGACCUACACAGCCUAUUAGGGUGUCCCAUUCCUCUGGUAAUGGUUGACUUAGUUCCCAAUCUCUGUUUUGCAGGUGAAAGGUGUAAGCCAUACUCUGCUCAACUCCAGUCUGAAACUGAGGUUAGUAAAUAAAGGACACGUACUUAACACACGGGAAUCCAACUCUUGGAGGACAUCAGAAGUGGAAUUUUCUUAUACAACCUACCUAUUCAAAUUAGCAUAUAAUCUUUCUAGCCUUUCUAAAUAAAUAAAGGGAUUUUUUUGU